rnacentral:rRNA from 1 species
UAGGGAAUCUUCGGCAAUGGACGAAAGUCUGACCGAGCAACGCCGCGUGAGUGGAGAAGGUUUUUCGGAUCGUAAAACUCUGUUGGUAGAGAAGAACGUUGGUGAGAGUGGAAAGCUCAUCAAGUGACGGUAACUACCCAGAAAGGGACGGCUAACUACGUGUCAG